rnacentral:rRNA from 1 species
GACGAACGCUGGCGGCGUGCUUAACACAUGCAAGUCGAGCGGUAAGGCCCUUUCGGGGGUACGACGAGCGGCGAACGGGUGAGUAACACGUGGGUGGACCUGCCUUUAGUCUCUGGGAUAAGCCUGGGAAACGUGGGUCUAAUACCGGAUAUGACUCCGCGGUGCAUGCUGUGGGGUGGGAAAGCCUUGUGCGGCUGGAGAUGGGCCCGCGGCCUAUCAGCUUGUUGGGU